rnacentral:rRNA from 1 species
GACAAACCGGAGGAAGGUGGGGACGACGUCAAGUCAUCAUGGCCCUUACGAGUAGGGCUACACACGUGCUACAAUGGCAUGUACAAAGGGUUGCCAAGCCGCGAGGUGGAGCUAAUCCCAUAAAGCAUGUCGUAGUCCGGAUUGGAGUCUGCAACUCGACUCCAUGAAGUCGGAAUCGCUAGUAAUCGUGAAUCAGAAUGUCACGGUGAAUACGUUCCCGGGCCUUGUACACACCGUCCGUCACACCAUGGAAGCUGGU